AGAGUUAGAUCCUGGCUCAGGAUGAACGCUAGCUACAGGCUUAACACAUGCAAGUCGAGGGGCAGCAUGGUCUUAGCUUGCUAAGGCCGAUGGCGACCGGCGCACGGGUGAGUAACACGUAUCCAACCUGCCGUCUACUCUUGGACAGCCUUCUGAAAGGAAGAUUAAUACAAGAUGGCAUCAUGAGUCCGCAUGUUCACAUGAUUAAAGGUAUUCCGGUAGACGAUGGGGAUGCGUUCCAUUAGAUAGUAGGCGGGGUAACGGCCCACCUAGUCUUCGAUGGAUAGGGGUUCUGAGAGGAAGGUCCCCCACAUUGGAACUGAGACACGGUCCAAACUCCUACGGGAGGCAGCAGUGAGGAAUAUUGGUCAAUGGGCGAGAGCCUGAACCAGCCAAGUAGCGUGAAGGAUGACUGCCCUAUGGGUUGUAAACUUCUUUUAUAAAGGAAUAAAGUCGGGUAUGGAUACCCGUUUGCAUGUACUUUAUGAAUAAGGAUCGGCUAACUCCGUGCCAGCAGCCGCGGUAAUACGGAGGAUCCGAGCGUUAUCCGGAUUUAUUGGGUUUAAAGGGAGCGUAGAUGGAUGUUUAAGUCAGUUGUGAAAGUUUGCGGCUCAACCGUAAAAUUGCAGUUGAUACUGGAUAUCUUGAGUGCAGUUGAGGCAGGCGGAAUUCGUGGUGUAGCGGUGAAAUGCUUAGAUAUCACGAAGAACUCCGAUUGCGAAGGCAGCCUGCUAAGCUGCAACUGACAUUGAGGCUCGAAAGUGUGGGUAUCAAACAGGAUUAGAUACCCUGGUAGUCCACACGGUAAACGAUGAAUACUCGCUGUUUGCGAUAUACAGCAAGCGGCCAAGCGAAAGCGUUAAGUAUUCCACCUGGGGAGUACGCCGGCAACGGUGAAACUCAAAGGAAUUGACGGGGGCCCGCACAAGCGGAGGAACAUGUGGUUUAAUUCGAUGAUACGCGAGGAACCUUACCCGGGCUUAAAUUGCAGAUGAAUUACGGUGAAAGCCGUAAGCCGCAAGGCAUCUGUGAAGGUGCUGCAUGGUUGUCGUCAGCUCGUGCCGUGAGGUGUCGGCUUAAGUGCCAUAACGAGCGCAACCCUUGUUGUCAGUUACUAACAGGUUCCGCUGAGGACUCUGACAAGACUGCCAUCGUAAGAUGUGAGGAAGGUGGGGAUGACGUCAAAUCAGCACGGCCCUUACGUCCGGGGCUACACACGUGUUACAAUGGGGGGUACAGAGGGCCGCUACCACGCGAGUGGAUGCCAAUCCCAAAAACCUCUCUCAGUUCGGACUGGAGUCUGCAACCCGACUCCACGAAGCUGGAUUCGCUAGUAAUCGCGCAUCAGCCACGGCGCGGUGAAUACGUUCCCGGGCCUUGUACACACCGCCCGUCAAGCCAUGGGAGCCGGGGGUACCUGAAGUGCGUAACCGCGAGGAGCGCCCUAGGGUAAAACUGGUGACUGGGGCUAAGUCGGAACAAGGUA
rnacentral:rRNA from 1 species